AUGCUGCUCUUAAUCUUGGGUUUGAAUUUGCUAUCCUGGUGGGUGUAUUUGUAUGUUAUUGGCCUUGGAUGCAGGGGAGCUCCUAAACGUGUGCUGUUGCAAUGCUUAUUUUCUUACAGUCCCUGCUUCAUCUUGAAGAUGCAUGCACAGAUAAUUCCAUGGUACUUUUCAUCAUCCACACCCUUCAAACUUUCUUAUGUUGAUCCUGAUACAAUGCAAUUGCAUGUUGGAUGCAACUCUACACUCUUAUCACUCAUCAAAACAAAUACAUUUUAUAAUACGAUACAGUACAUGGCUGUUGUGAGACUUAUAUCACAUUCAAGUCAUGCCGUCCAUUUCGUUUCAAAUUUUGUAGAAUGGCAAUGUCUCAAAAGCAGCAUCCACGGGGAGACUUUCCUGUUGAUCGUAUCUUCUUGGCCUUCUCUCUGA
rnacentral:rRNA from 1 species